UUUUUUUUUUUUUUAAUGUUUCUGAUGUCAAACACUUCCGCUUUGAGAAUUCUUCCAUCAUCUUCUUUAUAGUUCUCUCCUCCAUAAGAUUAAGCUCACCUACCCUCUGAUUCAUUCAGUAGGAUGAGAGCUGCCCUAAAUUACUGCCAUUCUUAAAACUUCUUGGCUCCUACUCACCAUGUAGGCCAUCCCCUGCCUCUGCCUGCCCCAUCCAUGUUUUCCAUGAGUGACCUAAACUACUACUGCCUGGAAGUCUUAGCUUCAGUUUAUUUUUAUUUUCCUUUCACAAACUAUUGUUUACAUGGUCUCCACCCCCUUUGUAGAAGAUCCUCCUUCUAUGGUAGUAAAAGCCAAGUAGGGAAGUGAAGAAAGCUACCUGGAUUUGGAACCUGUGACUGAAAGAUAUAGUGACUCUUGCCCAUAUGUUGUGCAGUGCAUGAAGCCAGAAGAUAAUUUUCAAAGCCCAUCUCAAGCAAGGCUCCAAAAGUGAAAAUGGUGGUGAUGGGCCAAAAGUUCACCAGAGCAAAGGAGUGUGAUCCAUAGAUUCCCACGGGAUGGUGAAUAGUCAGAGUAUAAAAGGGACAAGACAAAUCUGAUCCAUGAAUGGGAGCCCAAAGAGAAUGACCAGAGGAGCUGGGCCACAGUAUGCUGCUGGGUUUUCAUAAGCAUAUAGAAGCAUAUUAUCCUAGAUUGAUUUUUAUAGGUUUUUAUGGAUAUUUUCAAUGAUUAAUGGAGACCAUCUUUAAAAUGAGUAGCAGUGAAAUUUAAUCUAUCCUUUCCACUUCAGUGGAAUGUGAGCUAAAUGGAUCACCUUGGACUGGUGAGUUCAAUCAGGAUUUGUAAAUAUUUACUUAUUUAUUUAGUCUUUUUGCCAUUUCUUGGGCCGCUCCCACGGCAUAUGGAGGUUCCCAGGCUAGGGACCCCUAGCACUAAAUAUUAAGGGGUCCUGUUCUUCUUUAACUGAGUGUGUUCCAUGGCAUGGCCCAUGAACACAGAAACGUUAAGUCAGCUCUGGGCUUUAUUCAAGUUAUUAGAAGCAUCUCAGCUGAUCUUCCACCAUAUCCUCAAAGUGACCUUUCUGUGCCUCACAUUUGAAACAACUUAUGAAAACUGUUCCAUAUGUCAAACUUCAUUUCAUUCAAUUUUCUCCUGGUUGAAAAUUGACACUAAAGAUGUUUUGUCUUUCAGAACAUUUUCCUUUGGGAGCCAAAGGCCCGAUGAUGUAUAAUCCUUCCUGAAGGUUUUAUGGCAAGGCUUCACAAAGCAAACAUUUUUUUCCUCUUAUUUUAUAUCACCCUGACAAACAGAAAUGCUGAGCCAUUUAAUUACAGAGCCUGCCUGACACAUCCAGAGAGUCAAAUAUUCCAGCAGCAUCUAGCUGAAGGGGAAAAAUGCACUGAACUCCCCGAGUUGCUUGUCAAGACAAUGACACCAAGGAAACUAGUAAAUAAUCUGGCAGGUCAGAGGGUGGAUACUACGGUGUGCCAGAGUGGUCCCCAUGGCUCUGUGUCAGCACCAUUAGUCCUGUAGCAUCUCAUCCCAUGAUGGUAAUACAUGAUCUGAGCUUUAGGCUGAGCAGCCAGGAAAUGAUGAGAACACAGGUCAGAACGAAGGUCAAGCCACAGGCCCAUAGAUCAUCUCUUGAUCUGGGUUUUACAGAAAUGUCCAGAUUGAGAGCUUGCACUCUUAAUUCUCAAACUAACUCACAAAAAGAAUCUGCACAGAUACAACUGAAUAUUCGUCCCUCUAUAUCCAAGAUGUGACAGACAGUCCCCAGGACCAGGCACGAGUGCACUGAGAUAUUAUGUCCUAUAAUGUUUCAAAGCUCCAACACAUAAUCAAAAUAUCUUAGGUUACAUCUAUUUAACGCCCUUUCUAUCCCUUUAGAAUAGUUAAUCCCUGUGAUAAUUUCCAGUCCAUUUUAUGGCAAUAACUAAAGUAUGAAAGUCACUCUCUUGAAUGCUUCUUGUUUGCAUGAUUUAUAUUUUUCUUUCUUUCUUCUAUCAAUCAUACAGUAAAAAGAAAGAAUAAAAGUAGACCUCCUAUGAAUCAGGCACUAAUCUAAGCACUGGAUUGAGCAGUGGUGACAAGGUCACUACAUUUAAGGAAAUUACAUCCGAGAGUCAGGAGGCAAAAUAAACAUGUAAUAAGAUUAUUUUGGGGUUGUAUAUGUUCUGAAUAAAAUAGUCUACAGAGUGAUACAGAAUAGAGUGGUGGGAUGCUUUCUCAGGAUGGCCAGGGAAGUUCACGUUGAAGUGAUGAUUGUUAACUUGAGAUAUGAAGGAUGAAAAUGAUAAAAGGAGGCAGCCAAGAACUAUUUGGGUGAAGAAUGUUGCAGGAAAAAGAAAUAACAUGUGUAAACGCCCUAAGACAGAAAUGAGAGGGGAUGAGCUUUAUGGAAAGAAAGGUCAGUGAGGUCAGAAAGUAUUGAAUGAAGAGUAGAGUGGACGGAAAUGACACAGGGGAGGUUUUCAGAGGACAGAUCAUGUAAUGCAUUGGAGGCAUAUAUUUUGAAAAUGAAGAAGUAAAACUGCCUUUAAUCACAAACAGUAUGAUCCCAGUUGCAUAAUACUCCAUAAAGAUUAUACCCCAAACCUAGUAGAGCCAAUAACAAAAUUUAAGAAUAGCAUAAGGUCAGUGCAUACUGCAUUUCUACAUACUAGGAAAGAAAAAUUCAAAAGUUCGGUCAAGAUAAUUACAUUCAAAAAAUCGAAAGAAUUUAGAGGCUUACUAAUGCUUUUAACAAAAAAGCACAAAAGUCAUACAAUGAAAACUAUAAAAUAUUGCUAAGAGAAAUUUUUAAAGAUUUAUAAAAAUUAAGAGACAUUCCAUAUUAGAGACCAGGAAGACCAAAUAUUUUUAAGAUAAUAAUUCUCCCCAAAUUCAUCUAUAAUCCAAUGCUGUCUCUAUUAAAAUCCUAGCAGGCUUUCUCAUAGAAAUUAACAAUCUGGUCUUAAAAUUUAUAUGGGAAUGCAAAAAACCUAUACUAAAUGAAAUAAUUUUGAAUAAUUCAGUUUUUAAGGAUAUACCAUCUGACUUCAGGUAGUGGUGGCAUUAGAACAGACAUUUACAUCAAUGAAACAUCAUCUAGAUUUCAGAAAUAUAUCCUUAUAUUGUGAAUAAUUUAUUUUUGACAAAGGUGCCAAAUUCAAUGAAAAAGAACUGUAUUUUCAUAAAACUGCUGAAACAACUGAACAUCCAUAUUAAAAAAAAAAAUUUGUCCUUAUUUCACACAACACACAAAGGUAAGCUCAAAAUGGAUCAUAGAUGUAAGUGAAAAAGCUGAAACUAUAUAUGUCUUUUAGAACAAAAUGUUGGAGAAAAUCUUUUCAAUUUAGGUUAGGCAAAUAUGACACUAACUGUAAGUUAUAAAAGAAAAUACUGAUAAAUUGAACAUUUAAAAAAACAUAGAUACUGCAGAAGACAUCACUAAGAAAAUAAAAAGGCUAGCCACAGGAGAAAAUGUUUUUAAAUCACAUAUCUGAUAAAUGUUGUACCUGUUGUAUAAAUGUACAAAGAUCUCUUACAGCUCAAUAACACCAAAAAAGUCAGUUUUAAAGUGGGAAACAUUUACAUACAAAUGGACAAUAAUAACAUGAAAAGUUUCUCAACACGUUUAGAUAUCUGGGGAAUAAAAAUUAAAGCCACAAUGAGACAUUACUAUACACUCAUAGAAUGGUCAUAAAGAAAAAGACAAUCAUAAGCAUUCAGGGCAUAUGUGCAGAAAACAGAAUAUUUCAUCCACUGCUGGUGGAAAUGCAAAUUGGUACAGCCACGAUGCAAACAGGUAGGCAGUUUUUUAAUUGUUAAAUGUAUACUUACCACGUGAUCCAGCAAUUUCGCUUCCAAGUAUUUACUCAAGAGAAAUGAAAACCUA
rnacentral:lncRNA from 1 species